UGAUAUUGGGGCUGUUUUUUUUUUUUUUUUAUCAAUUUAUUUCCCAAAAGAAAAAAAAGACAAAAAGAAAAGUGUAAAUAUCCAUUUCCAAUUGUAUAUAGUGAAAAUUUGGGUUAGUGUAUGGAUUGACGCAUGGGAGAUCACAUCUGUAUCUAUUACGAGGUAUCCAAAUUAAUUGUCAGAAGGCACUUGGAAUGUCUUCAAUGGAGAUUUA
rnacentral:misc_RNA from 1 species